CAGGGUUGGGUUGAGGUAGAUUGCUACAUGUAUGCUUUGGAAGCGAUGGUUACUGGAGGUAACUUUUCCUAUGGAUCAAAAUGGAAAUCACUUAACGUGAAGGCAUUCAUCCUUUGGAGCACAAUCCUGCCCACCUGUGGCACCAGUGUCCCAGCCCCAUUGAUGGCUCAUCCUCAAGGCCAGAGGCCCACCGAGCCCCACACAAGCAUGGGUCCCUGUGUCUCCUGUCCUCCCACACCCUGCAUCUCCGCUACCCCUUCAGACAACUGUAAUUAAAUCCGUCAUUCGUCAGAGCUGCCUGAGCCCCACGCUCUCACCUGGGUGUACACACUUGGCUUUUCUUCUGGUGACAAAGAAGUCAAUUCAAAUCAACUGAGGCUGAUUCUUUUGAGAGGGAAAGAAGAGAAAGCAAGCGAGACGGGCCGGCACA